UCUCCUGUAGCUCAGUGGUAGAGCGUCCGACCGGUGUGCGGAAAGUCAUAGCUUCUACAUGUACUCUUGUUGGGAGAA